rnacentral:rRNA from 1 species
GUGUCAGCAGCCGCGGUAAUACGAGGGGUGCAAGCGUUGCUCGGAAUUAUUGGGCGUAAAGGGUAGGUAGGUGGUCUCAUUUGUCUAGGGUGAAAGCCUUGAGCUCAACUCAAGAAGUGCCCUGGAAACGGUGAGACUAGAGUCCUGGAGAGGGUCGUGGAAUUCCCGGUGUAGCGGUGAAAUGCGUAGAGCACGGGAGGAACACCAGAGGCGAAGGCGGCGACCUGGAAAGGUACUGACACUCAACUACGAAAGCGUGGGGAGCAAACAGGAUUAGAUCCCCUGGUAGUCCACGCCGUAAACGAUGGAUACUAGACUUGGCGGGUCUUGACCCCUGCCGAGUCGGAGCUAACGCACUAAGUAUCCCGCCUGGGAAGUACGGUCGCAAGACUAAAACUUAAAUGAAUUGACGG